CAGGGAGUUUCGCAAGGGAGUUCUCCAGGUGAAGGAGGAGCUAAUACAGCAUCUGUGGGGGUGUUAAUGCCACAACACUGUCCCAGAACCACCACACCAAUUGUGUGUGGCAGAAGAGUGCAGGGGUGCAGCCCAAUAACCCAAAUAUAUACACCUAUGGCCUUAUCCAGGUACCCAGAAGUUCAACGUUAGCCCUGCAUUGAGGAUUUGAUUGGCACUUAUUACAGUCCGAUGCAGAAGGCCAAAUUUCACCAAUGAGAUCUACAAAACCAAUCAACUUGGAAGCAAUUUAGUCAGUGAGUGGCUCUGAUAAGGCAAACAGAUUGGCACAGUUAUCUCUCCACCAGCAUUUGAUAUCGUCACCUUCAGAAACCACCGACUGUAAGUUGUGACAAAUAAACAACUCAACCCAAGUGCCUCAGUUAGGCACUAACUGCAUUCCUACUUAACCCACUGUGGCUUGAAGGUGCUGUAAGAAAGGGAAAAAAAACCUCCCUGGUCCUCUGUCAAUCGGUCCCAUGGAGAAAAAAAAAUCCUUCCUGACCUCCAAACAGGUGAUCAGCUAGACCCACAGCAUGAGUCAGGCCAGAUUCCCAUUCCUACUUCAGGAUAUGGCUUUUUUCAGAUAUAACAUAAAAACAUAGUGAAUAAAUCCUGAGGACCACAAGCUCCUAUAACAAUGGGAUUUUUUUCCGUAUUUUGAACUUCUGUCUAUCAUUUU